GGGAACUGCGGAGGAUCAUUA
rnacentral:rRNA from 1 species